rnacentral:rRNA from 1 species
CGCCUCUUGAAUCCAUUAGAGGUCCAGCCUGCCCAGUGACCCCUGUUUAACGGCCGCGGUAUCCUAACCGUGCGAAGGUAGCGUAAUCACUUGUCUUCUAAAUAGAGACUAGUAUGAAAGGCAUCACGAGGGCUUAACUGUCUCCUCUCUCUAAUCAGUGAACCUAAUCCCCCCGUGAAAAAGCGGGAAUUUUUUUAUAAGACGAGAAGACCCUAUGGAGCUUAAAACAUUGCACACGUGCUCAAUAACCCAAUACUCAGGUGUCUACACCCACACUACACGAUGAUUCUAUGUUUUUGGUUGGGGUGACCGCGGAGAAAAACAUAUCCUCCGCAACGAAAGGAACUACUCCUUAACUAUAAGUCACAACUUUACGUAUUAACACAUUAACGCCAUUGACCCAAUAAAUUGAUUAAUGAACCAAGUUACCCUAGGGAUAACAGCGCAAUCCACUUCCAGAGCCCCUAUCGACAAGUGGGCUUACGACCUCGAUGUUGGAUCGGGGUAUCCUAGUGGUGUAGCCGCUACUAAGGGUUCGUUUGUUCAACGAUUAAAACCCC